rnacentral:tRNA from 1 species
GCCCGGUUAGCAUAAAAGUAAUGUAUCCGUUUUGUAAUCG